rnacentral:rRNA from 1 species
UCCUUAGAUGUUCUGGGCCGCACACGCGCUACACUGAAGGAGGCAGCGUGUACUCCUGGAUCGAAAGAUUUGGGUAACCCGCGAAUCUCCUUCGUGCUAGGGAUUGAGGUUUGCAAUUAUCCUUCAUGAACGAGGAAUUCCCAGUAAGUGCAAGUCAUAAGCUUGCGCUGACUACGUCCCUGCCCUUUGUACACACCGCCCGUCGCUACUACCGAUUGAAUGAUUUAGUGAGGACUUCGGACUGGGACCGAUGCGGCUUUCGGGCUGCGUCGGUAUUCUGGAAAGAUGUCCAAACUGUAUCAUUUAGAGGAAGUAAAAGUCGUAACA